rnacentral:rRNA from 1 species
AGAGUUUGAUCCUGGCUCAGGAUGAACGCUGGCGGCGUGCUUAACACAUGCAAGUCGAGCGAAGCGCUUUAACGGAAUUCUUCGGAAGGAAGAUAAAGUGACUGAGCGGCGGACGGGUGAGUAACGCGUGGGUAACCUGCCUCAUACAGGGGGAUAACAGUUAGAAAUGGCUGCUAAUACCGCAUAAGCGCACAGGACCGCAUGGUCUGGUGUGAAAAACUCCGGUGGUAUGAGAUGGACCCGCGUUGGAUUAGCUAGUUGGUGGGGUAACGGCCUACCAAGGCGACGAUCCAUAGCCGGCCUGAGAGGGUGAACGGCCACAUUGGGACUGAGACACGGCCCAGACUCCUACGGGAGGCAGCAGUAGGGAAUCUUCCACAAUGGACGAAAGUCUGAUGGAGCAACGCCGCGUGAGUGAAGAAGGUUUUCGGAUCGUAAAACUCUGUUGUUGGAGAAGAAUGUAUCUGAUAGUAACUGAUCAGGUAGUGACGGUAUCCAACCAGAAAGCCACGGCUAACUACGUGCCAGCAGCCGCGGUAAUACGUAGGUGGCAAGCGUUGUCCGGAUUUAUUGGGCGUAAAGCGAGCGCAGGCGGUUUCUUAAGUCUGAUGUGAAAGCCUUCGGCUCAACCGAAGAAGUGCAUCGGAAACUGGGAAACUUGAGUGCAGAAGAGGACAGUGGAACUCCAUGUGUAGCGGUGAAAUGCGUAGAUAUAUGGAAGAACACCAGUGGCGAAGGCGGCUGUCUGGUCUGUAACUGACGCUGAGGCUCGAAAGCAUGGGUAGCAAACAGGAUUAGAUACCCUGGUAGUCCAUGCCGUAAACGAUGAGUGCUAGGUGUUGGAGGGUUUCCGCCCUUCAGUGCCGCAGCUAACGCAUUAAGCACUCCGCCUGGGGAGUACGACCGCAAGGUUGAAACUCAAAGGAAUUGACGGGGGCCCGCACAAGCGGUGGAGCAUGUGGUUUAAUUCGAAGCAACGCGAAGAACCUUACCAGGUCUUGACAUCCUUUGACCACUCUAGAGAUAGAGCUUUCCCUUCGGGGACAAAGUGACAGGUGGUGCAUGGUUGUCGUCAGCUCGUGUCGUGAGAUGUUGGGUUAAGUCCCGCAACGAGCGCAACCCUUAUUACUAGUUGCCAGCAUUUAGUUGGGCACUCUAGUGAGACUGCCGGUGACAAACCGGAGGAAGGUGGGGACGACGUCAAAUCAUCAUGCCCCUUAUGACCUGGGCUACACACGUGCUACAAUGGAUGGUACAACGAGUUGCGAGACCGCGAGGUUUAGCUAAUCUCUUAAAACCAUUCUCAGUUCGGAUUGUAGGCUGCAACUCGCCUACAUGAAGCCGGAAUCGCUAGUAAUCGCGGAUCAGCAUGCCGCGGUGAAUACGUUCCCGGGCCUUGCACACACCGCCCGUCA